rnacentral:lncRNA from 1 species
CCAUCACGCAGUCCGCCUUGAGAACCCUGCAGCCGUAGCCGAAGGUCGCCACCUCGUUCGCCAGCAGCGCCGCCGCCACCAAGAACGUGACCAGCAACGGAUGCCCAGCACGGCGUCUUCUCAUGGUGUCUACCGCCGCACGCUAGCUGUUCGCUCGCCCUGCCCCGGUUACGCGCGACGCAACAACAAUUAAACCCAGCUGGGGUGAGCCCCUGACCCCUGAGCUAG